GAUGAACGCUAGCUACAGGCUUAACACAUGCAAGUCGAGGGGAAACGAUAUUGGAAGCUUGCUUCCGAUAGGCGUCGACCGGCGCACGGGUGAGUAACGCGUAUCCAACCUGCCCACCACUUGGGAAUAACCUUGCGAAAGUAAGACUAAUGCCCAAUGAUAUCUCUAGAAGACAUCUGAAAGAGAUUAAAGAUUUAUCGGUUAUGGAUGGGGAUGAGUCUGAUUAGCUUGUUGGCGGGGUAACGGCCCACCAAGGCGACGAACAGUAGGGGUUCUGAGAGGAAGGUCCCCCACAUUGGAACUGAGACACGGUCCAAACUCCUACGGGAGGCAGCAGUGAGGAAUAUUGGUCAAUGGGCGAGAGCCUGAACCAGCCAAGUAGCGUGCAGGAUGACGGCCCUAUGGGUUGUAAACUGCUUUUAUAAGGGAAUAAAGUGAGCCUCGUGAGGCUUUUUGCAUGUACCUUAUGAAUAAGGACCGGCUAAUUCCGUGCCAGCAGCCGCAGUAA
rnacentral:rRNA from 1 species